CUUAUAAACUAUCACGACGCCCAAAAAGUCGUGGCUUGGGUUUUGCCAGCUGGCGUGAUCUCCUCUAUGAGUAAUCAUGUGAGGUGCCAGAUCUAUGGCGUUUCCCUAAUGUAUCCGGAUGCACCCUUGUCUUGGCAGAAAGCCGUGGUGAGGUGCAGUGGCGGAAUCGUGGUUUAAUAAUCGGGUUGGUACUCAGUUGUCAGUGUGUUUGGCGAUCCCCUAGUCGGCACACUUAUGAUUUCUGGGAUAAUUCCAUACCAGGCACGUUCCGUCACUGUCACUUUGUCAUUGGUUUGAUGCUGAACUUGGUCAUGUGUCUGAUGCUAUUUUCAUAUAGCGACGGUACCCUUCGUGGUCUGUCU
rnacentral:misc_RNA from 1 species